AAACCUCCUUAUUUUCACUCGGCCAACAGGUACCACGACCGAAUCUAAAUUCCCCAAACCUAAAUCCUCUCAACCACUUCCCCCCGCCGCCGACCGCCCGCUCGCCCGCUAUCUCCAGCAUGUCGUCACGGCGACAGCCAGGUUGCUGCCUUGUCUCCUUCAUCCUCGUGCACCCCCACUGCUUAGUCUACCAACACUUCCAAUCCUAGAUUGUGCGCUGCAGUUCGGGGAGAGGCCAAGGCCUGGUGGUGGACGCCGUCGUCCCUCUCAGAUUUGAGGCUGAGAGAGAGAGAGAGAGAAGGGGUGGGGGAGGAAGGAAGGGAGAGGCGGGUCACCUGCGAGAGAGAGAGCACUCGCACCCUCGCUCGUCACCCAGGGUCCGCCACCACUGCCGCCACAAAGGGCUUCAUCCGAUCUGUGCUCGCCGGUUGACUGCUGUUGCUUCCCCUCCCCCAGCGGAAUUUCAAGUGGCGCACAUCUUGUCUGGUGAGCCGACGACCGGACAUCUUUUGUCAAGCUUUCAGAAUGCUAACGCAAGUACUUAGACAAGCGCACAUCAGACUUUCAUGGUACGACGGUGCGCCCAUCAAUUGUUAUGUGUUCUACUUAUGUGUUCUACUCUGCCUGUGACAUGACCAUCAACUUCAUUUUACCGCUGGACAAGAAAUGACAUGCAUCUCAUGUCCACGAUCCUACUUAGAAACAAUAACUAUCUAGACUUAACUAUUGUAAAAUAUAAAUGUUAAUAUAUUGUCUAGACUUAACUAUUAAUCAGGGCACACAAUGUUAAUAUACUUCAAAUAUGGCUAAGUUGGUCUUAACUAUUGUAAAAUAUAAAUGGCAAUGAUAAUGCAGACAUAGAUCAUAUUAUUGCAUUACCCUUUUCCAAGAAAAUAAUGGAAGUACGUGUAUGAUCUUUCUGUGAAAUACAUUAUCAUGCUUUUGCAAGUUCCACGUUUUUCAAUUUCAGAUAAAGGAAUUGGAUCUUUCUUGGAGGCUCGGUGUUUCUUAACUGAGGCAUCUGCAGCAAUCUGUGUGUUGUCAGGUCCCAACGGGUCAAAGGAUUCAUCCUCCUUAUUCUGUCAGAUUUGCUUAUUCUUUCCAUGCAUACUGUACGAUCUUGAAAAGGAUGGAGAAUAAUACUGCUAUAACAGACGUUGAGGCCAUAAAACAACAUCUACUUACACUUAAGCCAAGACAUGAUCAUGAGGUUUCUUUUCAAUUGCAUAGUUCAUAGUUGGAUUUUUACAAGAACAUUUGCUUCCCUGUUUGGAUGUCGUGAGUCACAACAAGACAUCAACGAUAGGGACCAUGCUAUUGAAUGCAUUAGCUGAUUCAGAUGCCAACGGGGAAUUCUGCGAAGAGACAUUUGUGGCCAAUGUGCAGUAGGACAUAUCUUUUCCUGCUCACAUGGUUUCUAAAGUCAGUGACUGGCAGUUUUGGCAACACAUGGUACAUGCGCUCGGAAUGAAGGCCUGGAUGUGCUGAACAGGCGGCCAUGGCAAGAGCAUAUUGUGCAGAGGACGUGGAUGAGAAGAAACUUAUGGUUCUCAUUCAAUCUUUGUGGAACUCUCUUUAUGUGCGAUUGUGCAUUUGUUGGAACCUUUUUUCUGUGCACUUGCACAAGUAUUCUGUUGUGCACAUGUAAAAUUAUUUUGAUGUGUCCUUGUUAGGUGUUGAACCUUAAUGCGUGGAGUCAGUGGAUGAUGUAUUGUAUUUGAUGUGAUAUGCUAUUGAAAUGAAAUAUACAUUUUAUUUGCAA